rnacentral:tRNA from 1 species
UAUAAGGUGGUUGAGAUAAACAAUAAACUGUAAAUUUAUAUACGGGUAGCMCCCCCUUGUAU